AGGAUUGUAACCCAAUAGUUGUGUACGUGGAGAUCCAAACUACAACUAUCAAUCUAUCGAAGAAGGUUAGAGCUUAACAAUUGAGCUAAUUUUUCUCUCUCCUUCUCUCAAGUUCUCAAAAGAUUCCGUUUCCGGCGCCGGCGUCCAAGGUUAAAUGAUUUCAAGGUUUCUGUCGGCAGCGAUGUUGGAAAGAUCUCCUGUGGUGAUGGAAAGGAGUUCUUGAAUUUUGAUUUCAGCUUCUGAUGUUUCGAGAUUGUUGUUCCAUGAAAAGUUCUGGGUUGACUUUAGGUCAACGUUUUGGGCUUCCCCAUGAGUUUGAUUUGAUGUUUUCUAGUUGAAUUGUUGGGAUUCAUUCCGUGGUCUGAAUGGAUAAAGGAAAAAUGGAUUGAUUUUUCAUUGUUUUUGAAUCUUUCUUGGUGUUGGUAUUAAGCUAAGAAUCAAUAACAGGAAAAAGUCCAGGAAGUUUCUCUUUGAAACAUUGGUUUUAGCAUAGCUCUAAGAUAUAUGCCUUCUACUAAAGAUGUCAGAUAGUUAGAGGUUCGAAUCCAUCACGAGCUAGAACUCAAAACAUCUCUUGACAGAAGCAUUGUUCGUCUAAAUGACGCUUCGAGAUGUCGGAGACUAACUCUUUGGUUGGUCUUUCAGGGGAGGGAGGUUGUUUAGCAUUUCACAGAGGGGACUUAGUAGCAAAUUGGGAAUUAUUUACAGACCCAAGUGAAAGAAAGAAAUGGGUUCUGAAGGUCCAGGUGGGGUUACCAUUCAUGUGACUGGAUUUAAGAAGUUCCAUGGGGUUGCUGAAAAUCCUACCGAGGCUAUCGUCGAUAACUUGAAGGCAUUCGUCGAAGAAACAGGAUUGCCUGCUGGUGUCACUCUUGGAAGUUGUACAGUUCUUGAUGUUGCUGGAGAUGGUGCUCUUCCACUGCUUUACAAAGUUCUGGAAUCUGGCAUCUCAAAUGUCACAGAAACUACCACAAACUCAUAUGGCUUCACUUGGGAGUCAAUAGUGGUUCGGCGAGGUUUGCUGUUGAAUGGCAAGCUGUAAACGAAGCUACUUUUCGUUAUCCAGACGAACUCGGAUGGCAGCCUCAGAAACUUCCAAUAGUCAUGGAGGAUGGGGAAAUCUCAAUGAUUAGAAAGACAUCCUGCUCGGCUCCGACGAUCUUAGAGAGGUUGAAGGCGAAAAGCUACAACGUGAUAUUAUCGGAGGAUGCGGGGAGUAUCGUGCCUGAUGGCAACAUUGACAUGGUUAAAGAACUCGAAAGUUUCGACAUUGAAGAAGAGGACGACAGUGCGGUGGACACAUAUGCGGUACCGGUGUGGAGAAGUGAGCACGGGAGCAAGAUUCUGAUAAAUGUGGAUAGUUUUGACGCGGUUGGAGAUGGAGUUACAGAUGACACUAUGGCUUUCAGGAAGGCAUGGGAGACUGCUUGCAGCUCUUCAAAUUCAGUUCUUUUGGUGCCAAAAGAAGGGAGAUAUCUGGUGAAUGCAACUAAGUUUAAAGGGCCAUGCAAACAUGGUAUGGUAAUCCAGAUUGAAGGAACAAUAGUUGCACCAGAUGAACCAGAGAAUUGGGAUCCAAAACUUCCCCGUCAAUGGCUGGAGUUUACAAAACUAAGUGCAGCUACCUUUCAAGGGGAUGGAAUUAUCGACGGCUCCGGUGAGAAAUGGUGGGCAGAAUCCUGUAAAAAGAACAAGUCCAGGCCUUGCAAAGGAGCACCAACAGCAUUAACCAUAGAGUCGAGUUCAAAUAUAAGAGUAAAAGGCCUAACCAUUCAGAACAGCCAACAGAUGCAUUUCAUCAUUGCGCGGUCUAAAACUGUUCGAGUUUCGGAGGUAAGAGUGUCAGCUCCAGGAGAUAGCCCCAACACCGACGGGAUCCACAUCACGCAAUCAACUAAUGUCGUAGUUGAAAACUGCAAGAUUUCAACAGGUGAUGACUGCAUCUCCAUUGUCAAUGCUAGCUCUGGCAUCAAGAUGAAGAGAAUAUCAUGUGGACCAGGACAUGGGAUCAGCAUUGGAAGUUUAGGGAAAGACAACUCCACUGGUAUUGUAACAAAGGUGGUGUUAGACACAGCCUUCCUCAGAGAGACAACAAAUGGUGUUAGAAUCAAGACCUGGCAGGGAGGUUCGGGAUAUGUUCGCGCCGUUCGGUUCGAAAAUGUGAGAAUGGAAAAUGUUGAGAACCCCAUUAUCAUCGAUCAGUUCUACUGUGACCAUACUACUUGUGAACCUCAGGCAUCUGCCGUGAAAAUAAGCCAAAUCAUGUACCGGAACAUAAGUGGAACCACAACGAGCAAGAACGCGAUGAAGUUCGCCUGCAGCGACAGCUUUCCAUGCAGCAACAUAAUUCUAAGCAAUGUCAAUUUGGAGAAGACGGAUGGAACAGUGGAGACCUACUGCCACGCCGCUCAAGGCUUUGGAUAUGGCGUGGUGCAUCCAUCAGCAGACUGCUUAAGUUCCAGCGACAAUGACAUUGCAGCUUCAGAUGAGACCCAAGUUCCGGAGCUGGAGGCAGUGCAAAUCCCUACUGAGCGGCACAUAGUUCACACUGAGCUCUGACCUUCAUGUCCUGUCCAUCUAAACUAAACUCAGCAAAUAUUUGUAGCAUAUAUACAUAGCACUCACAAUUAUACCUACCCUUUUGGAAUCUAAAUAGAAAUAUAGACUACCAAGUAAAUGAUUGUAAUAUUUCUUGAAGAAAGCAUACAUAUUUUGAAUUUAUAGUAAUGGUUUUUUAAUACCA